rnacentral:rRNA from 1 species
AGAAUUUUUCUCAAUGGGGGAAACCCUGAAGGAGCGACGCCGCGUGGAGGAUGAAGGUCUUCGGAUUGUAAACUCCUGUCAUUGGUGAACAAAGCCCUUCAAUGGGUUUGAUAGUAGCCGAAGAGGAAGAGACGGCUAACUCUGUGCCAGCAGCCGCGGUAAUACAGAGGUCUCAAGCGUUGUUCGGAUUCAUUGGGCGUAAAGGGUGCGUAGGCGGCAGAGUAAGUUAGGCGUGAAAUGCUAAAGCUCAACUUUGGCACUGCGCUUGAUACUGCUUUGCUCGAGUGCUAGAGAAGAAGCUGGAAUUUACGGUGUAGCAGUGAAAUGCGUAGAUAUCGUAAGGAACGCCAGUGGCGAAAGCGAGCUUCUAGAUAGUUACUGACGCUGAGGCACGAAAGCUGGGGGAGCAAAC